UUCAGCGCCUUCUUUCCAGUUGCACUGUUCUUGAGGAUCUAUUUCUAGAACGUUUAGAGAUUUAGGGUAAGUGUCUGGUCUUUCCAGAGACUAACCCUAAAAAUAUUAAGAGGUUCUCAGUUUUAUGUGCUUGUGUUACACACUCCUUUGAAGCAUUUCAAAAUUAUGGAUUAUAAGGGUAAAUAUGAAACUGAUGGUUAUGCCUAACUUAGAGGAGGCGGAUAUUAGUUCGACAUACGCUGAUAUGGUUAAGUUUGUUAGAUCAUCACAUCCGUCAAGCGGCUUUCAUUAUGCGUAAGAGUCAAUGCAGAAGAGGCUUUAUAUCCUGAGGGUAUUUUCUUCAACCAGCUUAAAAAUCUGAAGCUAUGUCCACGUGAUUCAAAUUGGUCAAAGCUACUUGUCCGGUUACUUAAAGAUUCUCCUAAUUUAAAUACGAGGGCUCGAAGUCUCUCUGUAUGAUGGAAGUUUCUUCGAUAUCGACCUAUUCUUUUGAUUUGAUUUGCUUUAGUAUUUAGGCCAUGCUUCUAUGAUUGAUCUCAGGAUCAUACAAAAACUUGUGUGGAUCCAACAGUUUGCUGGGAGAAUCAACUGAAUUGUGUUCCUAAAUGUUUGUUGUCGAGUCUCGAAACUUUCAAAUACAUGGAUCGCCAAAAGUGAUGGAUUUGGCAAAAUAUAUUUUGAGAAAUGCUCGUUGCUUAAAGACUGCGACAAUCUUAUUUCAGUCUGCUCUAGAGACAGAUCCAGGAGUUUGUUACUUUCUUUUCGAGGUUCAACAACUCAUACUACUAUAAUGUUUUCAUUUAUAUGUUAGGACUUAUAGUUAUGUGAUCAAAGAUGUAACACAUCAAGAAUAGUUGGCAACAAUAAGUGUAUGAAAUUUAUGCUUCAUUGUAUAAACCAAGGACAA